rnacentral:rRNA from 1 species
GAUGAAUGCUAGCGGCAGGCUUAAUACAUGCAAGUCGUGGGGCAGCAGGGUUGUAGCAAUACAAUCGCUGGCGACCGGCAAACGGGUGCGUAACACGUACGCAACCUUCCCGUUACUGUGGCAUAGCCCAGGGAAACUUGGAUUAAUACCACAUAUUAUAUUGAGGGGGCAUCCCUUUGAUAUCAAAGCUUCGGCGGUAACGGAUGGGAGUGCGGUUGAUUGGGUAGUUGGCGGGGUAAGGGCCCACCAAGCCUACGAUCAAUAACUGAUGUUGGAGCAUGAUCGACCACACGGGCACUUGGACACGGGCCCGACUCCUACGGGAGGCAGCAUUAAGGAAUAUUGGGCAAUGGACGAAAGUCUGACCCAGCCAUGCCGCGUGAAGGAUUAAGGUCCUCUGGAUUGUAAACUUCUUUUCUCUGGGGCGAAAACCAGCUAUUCUUAGCUAUUUGACAGUACCAGAGGAAUAAGCACCGGCUAACUCCGUGCCAGCAGCCGCGGUAAUAC